rnacentral:rRNA from 1 species
UGCAAGUCGAGCGGUAGCGGGGAAUAGCUUGCUCUUUUGGCGGCGAGCGGCGGACGGGUGAGUAAUGUCUGGGAAACUGCCUGAUGGAGGGGGAUAACUACUGGAAACGGUAGCUAAUACCGCAUAACGUCGCAAGACCAAAGAGGGGGACCUUCGGGCCUCUUGCCAUCAUAUGUGCCCAGAUGGGAUUAUCUAGUAGGUGGGGUAACGGCUCACCUAGGCGACGAUCCCUAUCUGGUCUGAGAGGAUGACCACCCACACUGGAACUGACACACGGCCCACACUCCUACGGGAGGCAGCAGUGGGGAAUAUUGCACAAUGGGCGCAAGCCUGAUGCACCCAUGCCGCGUGUAUGAAGAAGGCCUUCGGGUUGUAAAGUACUUUCAGCGGGGAGGAAGGUGAUGAGGUUAAUAACCUUAGCAAUUGACGUUACCCGCAAAAGAAGCACCGGCUAACUCCGUGCCAGCAGCCGCGGUAAUACGGAGGGUGCAAGCGUUAAUCGGAAUUACUGGGCGUAAAGCGCACGCAGGCGGUCUGUCAAGUCGGAUGUGAAAUCCCCGGGCUCAACCUGGGAACUGCAUUCGAAACUGGCAGGCUAGAGUCUUGUAGAGGGGGGUAGAAUUCCA